rnacentral:lncRNA from 1 species
UUUCUUAAUCAUGCACUCAAUGGCCUAUUUUCAAUAAUAAAAGCAAGGAUUCAUCCCACCUACCAAAGUUGUGAUGUAAGAGGGAUGUGCAUAGAGGUUAUUUGAGAGCUUACAACUUGGCCAAGAAUGUAGCUUAGAUUGAGUACAAUCUUGAAAAGGGAGUGUGAGGGAAAUGAAGGAGACUAGGGGUUAAAUGACUGAAAU